GGGUACAUAGCUCAGUGGCAGAGUGCAUGCUUAGCAUGCCCAAAGUCCUGGGUUCAAUCCCCAGUACCUCCA
rnacentral:tRNA from 1 species